UUGAAUAUACUAAACUCAUAAUAUGCAAAAACUGAUUAUGAAUGUUUUAUUCUUGGAUACUUGCUUUGACAGACACUUGUGACCCAACUGGUUGAUGACUUGGGGAAAUGAGCUAAGCAGUGAAGAGCACUUCCUUGACAUUUUGGAUGAUAUGGCAGUAUACUAACAGGUGCUGAAUACCUGAGCUCUGGAAUUUACAUCUUCAGAAAGUGCUUCAAGGAGGACAAGAGGGAAGAGUGCCAACAGAACUUCAUCACACAUUGGUUAGGCCUCUGCUUAAAAAACCUUCUUUGGAUGUUAACAUGCUCACCCAUUAUCAUUCAAUAUGUCAGUAA
rnacentral:lncRNA from 1 species